rnacentral:lncRNA from 1 species
CCCUACAUAGCAUCCUUCUAUCCGAAUAAAACUGUCAAUAUUUUUUGGUUUGUCUCCCCAUUUAUGUCAGUCCAAUGCAUCCAAAACAUUUUCUUUUCCAAGUUUUCCCUGCCACUGGGCUUUUUGCUAAACACUACCCUUUCUGCUAUACCAGUUUAUAAUUAGGUACUGACUGUGAUUCACUAAGUAUGUGAAACUUUACACAAUUUUAUAUUUUCCUGAUAGCUUUCAACUAAGAUUAGGACACAUCUAGUAGGACAUAUCUACAGGAUACAAACAUUCUUCAGUAACUCAUCUUGCAUUUUGACUUCUGCAGCAUCCUGAAAUUGGGACUGAGCUAGAAUUGCUUGAGAAUUGGACAAGAUAAGCAUGAAGAAAUUGUACUGGAACAAAAGACCCAAGGGGAAAGGGCAGAUAAAGGCAUAAUUUAUCAAUACUCAGAGAAAGAAGCAAUAAAUGUGUGUCUGCUAGAGUACAUACUCUCUGGAGUUUUACAUGGAACCUGGGAUUCCUAAUUAUCACAAUUUUGUUCACAAUUGAAAAAAAAACAAUUUGAUCUUCUGGUGGUUAAUCAUUGUUGCUACCAGUCACUUUAAUUUCUCAAAUGGCAGAAAUUUACAUGAAUUUCUUACUGUUACUCUGCUGGUGAAAUACACAACAUUCAGAGUCAACAUAAGAUUAUUUUUUCCUUUUACAGAGAUCUAGGAAUCACCAGAAGAAAGGUUGUCUACAGAGAAAAUUUAAGUCAGGAGGAUUAAGAACUGGUGCAAAAGGAAGGUAUGUAGGAAGGUUUUUAUUUACCUUGACAGAAGAGAGAGAACUCUGUGGGUCACAAGCCCUGUGACCCUGCAGCAGCUGGGCUGGGAGGCCAGUGUGACAGUACAGCCAGGAUUCCCAUCCCCAACUCCAUGGACACUUGGACUCCAGCUCAUGCCCAGGUACAAAUCCUUCAGAGCCAAGGUGUGGAAUUAUGGGUUUUCUUGAAAUUGAAG